UACACCAAAAACAAGUAUAUUCUCUCCUUUCCUCUUCCACGCAAACCCUAGGUGCCGCCUAGGGUCCAUCUCCUCUCUCCUGCCCAAAAUGGCAAAGGGUCAGAUUUCGCAGAGAUUUAACGGUCCUGGUACGACUAAAUUUAUGAAACAAUCAAUGCUUGAUAUUGUUAGCACUUGAAUUCCAUCCAAACACAGUAGUAAUCACCCUUUUAUUUGCUUUUUCCUUUUAUUUCUUGAAUCAAAAUACGAUUUUUGACAUUUUUGUUUCUUAUUUAUGGCUGUACGACCUCGAUUCUUAUUGGUUCAUAAGGGUUUGGUUUGGAUAGUCCUAAAAUGGAUCAGAUCUGACUUUAUACAUUGGUUGUCUUUAGAUCUUGAUCGUUAAUUUCGUGUAUUGAAUGUUUAGUUAUGAAAAAAUGAUGUUUGUACCACAUCAGUAAUUUUAGCCUUUGAAAUAUUUUUGGGGUUCUAUAAAUAGAACCUCAACCCUCACCAUUUCACAAGUUUUGACAACCUCAAAAGGCUAGAAAUCUCGAUUUUAAGAUUCUCAGUAUAAAAAUUUUAAACUUUGACCUUAAAACUUGAAGUUUUUCCUAAGUUCUAAAGUUAUUUUCUUUUGUUGUUCUAUAUUCUGUGUGCCUGAGUUUUGAAAUUGGAAGCACAAGGCUCCAAAGUCCAUUCUUUUCUUGGCUGUGCAUAUAAAAGGUCCAGCCACCCUAUUAGGCCUUUGGCCCAAUAGGAAAAUUCUUUCAAAGAUUUAUUGAGUCCGAGAAAAAAAAGGGAAGCUAAUAUAUAUUGAAGGCCCAGUCAUGGGUGAAAAUGACAUUGAGGCACAACCAUGGGUGAAAAUGGUUAACUAGGGGUUUGGUACACCCCUAGUCUAUCCCUCCUACAUUACUUACGUUAUUCCAUCUUUUUUAAAAUGUUGUAUUGUAUUUGUACUUGUAAAAACAACUCACAUUAUUAUUGGAAUCGGUUAUGGUUUGAA